rnacentral:lncRNA from 1 species
AACAAGACUAAACUACCCAUCGCUAAGAAAAUAUAAUAAUAUCUAUAAAUUCUUCGAAAAAGAACAAAUUAGCUCGUACCUAACUUUAAUCGAGUUCAUCGACAAAAUUUGAGUAAAACUGUAACAAGUUACAUAUCUCGACGUGGCGAUUUCCACCUUGUAAAGGCGGGAGGCCAAAUAAUCCCCCUCUACCCAAGGGUAGAGUAUUAACAUAAAACCUCAAAAAACAAAAAAAGUAUAUGGCAUUUCUGUCACAAGAAAUUUAGAUUUUAAAUAUAAUUAAAAUGGAGACAAAAAUUCCGCUGAAGUGGAAAGAAAAAUGACACCGUCCUUUUCUUAGACCUAAUAGAGAUCGUUAGGCGAAAAAGGAAACAAUUACUGUAGAUGACUGGGAAUAUAUUGAAUUUAUUUGCAAUUUAAAUUUGUUUUGCUAGGAUUUGGACUCGAAAUUAUCCAAUUUUGAAUAUGACACGACCCAGCUACUCCCCCAAUCCAAUUCAAAUUAAUUUCUUAAUUCGAGCUAUAAUAAUGAUCCUAUCAAAUCCCAUUUCGGUGAUCUGAUAGGGACGCACAGACAGACAUGGCUCUAUCGACUCGGCUAUUGAUGCUGAUCAACAAUAUUAUAAUUUAUGGGGUCGGAAACGUUUCCUUCUGUGCGUUACAUGCAUCCGUUAUUCCCCAUAAAUUCCAUAUACCCUAUUUACUCUUCAACGUAACGCUUCUUUCUGUGUGUAGUUUUCGAAUACCGGGUACAAAAAUGUUAUUAAGAGAUUAAGUAUGAUUUAAAAUCCGUUAAAGCAUUUUUGAACUUAAAGCUGAGGCGGUAGCUGAGGAGAGAAAAACACCUCCCCCAUAAGUUAACGAAUAAGCAUGUGAAAAAUGUAAUAUUUUCCAACUUUUCCUGAGUUUUUAAAGAGAAAACUGCGUAAAAGUACCUUACAAAAAGAAAAAUUUUUGCAUUUCAAAGCCUAUUAUUUUUGAAACGGUAAGCUAAAACCACAAAGUGUUUGGGUAUACGUUUCAAAUUCAUUAAUCAGCUUUAUAGAAUGGCUAGGUUCAUUAAAACCAGAUGAAAG